rnacentral:rRNA from 1 species
UGCAAGUCGACGGUAACAGCGAGAGCUUGCUCUCGGCUGACGAGUGGCGGACGGGUGAGUAACGCGUAGGAAUCUGCCCAGUAGUGGGGGACAACCCGGGGAAACUCGGGCUAAUACCGCAUACGCCCUACGGGGGAAAGAUGGCCUCUCCUUGGAAGCUGUCACUAUUGGAUGAGCCUGCGUCGGAUUAGCUAGUUGGUAGGGUAAUGGCUCACCAGGCGACGAUCUGUAGCUGGUUUGAGAGGAUGAUCAGCCACACUGGGACUGGGACACGGCCCAGAACUCCUACGGGAGGGCAGCAGUGGGGGAUAUUGGGACAAUGGGGGGCAACCCUGAUCCAGCAAUACCGCGUGUGUGAAGAGGCCUGCGGGUUGUAAAGCACUUUUCAAUGGGAGAUUGGUUACAAGUUAUUACCUUUGGAGCCUGACGUUACUUUAGAGAAGACCGGCUAACUCAGUGCCAGCAGCCGCGGUAAUACG